AGUGUUGAGGUUGGGAAUAUGCC
rnacentral:miRNA from 12 species